AGCGUUGUUACAAGUCUUUAAAAAUCACUCCCAGUCUAGGGAAUGCGAGAAUAUCGCACGGUUGAUGUCUUUAAUACUUUCCAAAGAAAUUAUAGCCGUAUAAAUAUCCGUUAUGCUUGCUUGGCCGGAAUCCUGUAGAGUAACUAUUCAAAUUUUAUUGAAGGUCAACAUCAUCUCAUAAAGAAAAUGUUCAAGGCUGAGUUUGCAACGUGGAUUACAUCUUUGCGUGCGAAUCUUCAAACUUAAUAUCUUCUUCAACUGUAAUAAUAAUUAUUGUGAAUCCAACACUUAUGUCAAGACUGAUGGACAGACAGGCAGAGCGAAUUUUGCAGUCGGGAUAGCUGUUUGGGCGAUUAGCUAUCAGACUCGAGGUCUCGACUUAUGACCUAGGCCACACUACACUUCUACAACUCCUCACGUCAUCGGGUAACCGUCAUGGAUUAGAGCAAUCCCACACACAGAUAUCCAACAAUGAUGGCUCAUGAAUUAUAAUGUAAAAUGUAAUGCAUACAAAUGUAUGGUUGCGAUCCGGAUAGAAACUAGAAAGGAAUGUAUGCUACAAGUCUUGAGAAAAGAGAAACAAUGGGGACAAUGAUGAUGCCUGAUAAACUGGGCAGAUCCACGGAUCAUGUCACUGCAAAUUAUUAAAAAUAUAAUAUUGAUAAUUGA